rnacentral:misc_RNA from 1 species
GAACUGUCAAAAUAGUCAAUCACUGGCUUUCACCAGAAUAAGCUAGUAAUAUCAUUUGGAGGAUUGCAUGGAUCCUUCAAAAGCUUAAAUGAAAAAAAUUUGUGGGAAACUUAUCAAUGAGAAACCAGACAGGCUCAGUACGAUUAUACCUGUCAAUCUACCAUUUACCAAUCAACACACUCUUUGAUAUGGUUAAGACAUCUU